rnacentral:misc_RNA from 1 species
GUAGGUGAACCUGCGGAAGGAUCAUUCAUAAUAAAGUGUUUUAUGGCACUUUUUAAAAAUCCAUAUCCACCUUGUGUGCAAUGUUAGAUCUCGUCAAUCUUGGCGAGAUUUUUAUACAUCAACUCAUUCUUUAACUAAUUUGUCUGAAAAAUAUUAUGAAUACUUAAUUCAAAAUACAACUUUCAACAACGGAUCUCUUGGCUCUCGCAUCGAUGAGGAACGCAGC